rnacentral:rRNA from 1 species
UACGGAGGGGGCUAGCGUUGUUCGGAAUUACUGGGCGUAAAGCGCACGUAGGCGGCUUUGUAAGUUAGAGGUGAAAGCCCGGGGCUCAACCCCGGAAUUGCCUUUAAGACUGCAUCGCUUGAAUCCAGGAGAGGUGAGUGGAAUUCCGAGUGUAGAGGUGAAAUUCGUAGAUAUUCGGAGGAACACCAGUGGCGAAGGCGGCUCGCUGGCUCAUUUCUGACGCUGAGGUGCGAAAGCGUGGGGAGCAAACAGG